rnacentral:rRNA from 1 species
AUUGAACGCUGGCGGCAGGCCUAACACAUGCAAGUCGAGCGGUUGACGGGAGCUUGCUCACUGAUUCAGCGGCGGACGGGUGAGUAAUGCCUAGGCAUCUGCCUAUUAGUGGGGGACAACGUUUCGAAAGGAACGCUAAUACCGCAUACGUCCUACGGGAGAAAGCAGGGGGCCUUCGGGCCUUGCUAUACUAGAUGAGCCUAUGUCGGAUUAGCUUGUUGGUGAGGUAAUGGCUCACCAAGUCGACGAUCCGUAACUGGUCUGAGAGGAUGAUCAGUCACACUGGAACUGAGACACGGUCCAGACUCCUACGGGAGGCAGCAGUGGGGGAUAUUGGACAAUGGGCGAAAGCCUGAUCCAGCCAUGCCGCGUGUGUGAAGAAGGUCUUCGGAUUGUAAAGCACUUUAAGUUGGGAGGAAGGGUUGUAGAUUAAUACUCUGCAAUUUUGACGUUACCGACAGAAUAAGCACCGGCUAACUCUGUGCCAGCCGCCGCCGUAA